UGGGGAAUUUUGGACAAUGGGGGCAACCCUGAUCCAGCAAUGCCGCGUGUGUGAAGAAGGCCUUCGGGUUGUAAAGCACUUUUGUCCGGGAAGAAAUCGCACCUGAUAAUACCGGGUGUGGAUGACGGUACCGGAAGAAUAAGGACCGGCUAACUACGUGCCAGCAGCCGCGGUAAUACGUAGGGUCCAAGCGUUAAUCGGAAUUACUGGGCAUAAAGCGUGCGCAGGCGGUUGUGCAAGACCGAUGUGAAAUCCCCGGGCUUAACCUGGGAAUUGCAUUGGUGACUGCACGGCUAGAGUGUGUCAGAGGGGGGUAGAAUUCCACGUGUAGCAGUGAAAUGCGUAGAGAUGUGGAGGAAUACCGAUGGCGAAGGCAGCCCCCUGGGAUAACACUGACGCUCAUGCACGAAAGCGUGGGGAGCAAACAGG
rnacentral:rRNA from 1 species